CGCAGAGUUUGAUCGUGGCUCAGGACGAACGCUGGCGGCGUGCUUAACACAUGCAAGUCGAGCGGUAAGGCCCUUUCGGGGGUACACGAGCGGCGAACGGGUGAGUAACACGUGGGUGACCUGCCCUCAGCUCUGGGAUAAGCCUGGGAAACCGGGUCUAAUACCGGAUAUGACUCCAUGACGCAUGUUGUGGGGUGGAAAGCCUUGUGCGGCUGAGGAUGGGCCCGCGGCCUAUCAGCUUGUUGGUGGGGUGAUGGCCUACCAAGGCGACGACGGGUAGCCGGCCUGAGAGGGCGACCGGCCACACUGGGACUGAGACACGGCCCAGACUCCUACGGGAGGCAGCAGUGGGGAAUCUUGCGCAAUGGGCGAAAGCCUGACGCAGCGACGCCGCGUGAGGGAUGACGGCCUCGGUU
rnacentral:rRNA from 1 species